CUUCGCCAGCAUGACCAAACUGCUUCUGUCUGCUCAGGGACACUUCAAGGGUGGUGUUUCUUGCACUGGCCUUUUGAGCUGGCCACACAGGCCCUUCCAUUGCUCUAUUUCCUGUGGUAGAAGAGCGGUGGCUUUCAAACACGUUGGAUCAUUCCACAGCAAGAAAGAGAGUGUAUAUUACGGCCCAGCACCUACUUACACCGAUAAAACCAUAAGCUUCUCGGCCUCUCUCUCCAUCCGGUCUCCUAGUUUGUGAGAUGAGACUUUCAGCCCCGGGAAUCUCUGGGAUACCUUCCAUGGCCAGCCCUCU